CCCGCGGUAGCUCAGCCUGGUAGAGCUUCCGGCUGUAGACCGGAGUGUCGCAGGUUCAAAUCCUGCCCGCGGGACCA
rnacentral:tRNA from 2 species